rnacentral:rRNA from 1 species
UACGAAGGGGGCUAGCGUUGUUCGGAUUUACUGGGCGUAAAGCGCACGUAGGCGGACUUUUAAGUCAGAGGUGAAAUCCCAGGGCUCAACCUUGGAACUGCCUUUGAUACUGGAAGUCUUGAAUUCGGGAGAGGUGAGUGGAACUGCGAGUGUAGAGGUGAAAUUCGUAGAUAUUCGCAAGAACACCAGUGGCGAAGGCGGCUCACUGGCCCGAUAUUGACGCUGAGGUGCGAAAGCGUGGGGAGCAAACAGG